rnacentral:rRNA from 1 species
GGUCCCGCCUGCCCAGUGAGUAAUCUUUAACGGCCGCGGUAUUCUAACCGUGCAAAGGUAGCGUAAUCACUUGUCUUCUAAAUAAAGACCAGUAUGAACGGCUAAAUGAGGACAAACCUGUCUCAUGUGACUAAUCAGUGAAACUGAUCUCCCAGUACAAAAGCUGGCAUACUUACAUAAGACGAGAAGACCCCGUGGAGCUUAAAACUAAUCACUAACCCACACCCAAACUCUAGUGCACUGUUUUAAGUUGGGGCGACUUCGGAAUAAAAUAAAACUUCCGAGCACAGAACCACCACUUCCAACUAAGACCAACAAGUCUAAGUAUACACAGACCCGGCCCACGCCGACCAACGAACCAAGUUACCCCGGGGAUAACAGCGCUAUCUUCUUCAAGAGUCCCUAUCAACAAGAAGGUUUACGACCUCGAUGUUGGAUCAGGACACCCAAAUGGUGCAGCCGCUAUUAAAGGUUCGUUUGUUCAACGAUUAACAGUCCUACGUGAUCU